rnacentral:rRNA from 1 species
GACAGAGGGUGCAACAGUUGCUCGGAAUUACUGGGCGUAAAGCGCGUGUAGGUGGAUUGGUGUGUCAGAUGUGAAAGCCCUGGGCUCAACCCAGGAACUGCACCUGAAACUACCAGUCUUGAGUGGUGGAGAGGGAAGUGGAAUUCCUGGUGUAGAGGUGAAAUUCGUAGAUAUCAGGAGGAACACCAGUGGCGAAGGCGGCUUCCUGGACACCAACUGACGCUGAGACGCGAAAGCGUGGGGAGCAAACAGG